rnacentral:sRNA from 1 species
AAGGUUCGACUCGAGCGAAGUGAGAGAACGUUGCCGCAGGCAACGGCCCGAAGGCGAGGCGCUUUAGCGCCGAGUAAUCCUUCCCCCACCA